rnacentral:rRNA from 1 species
GGCGGUAAUACGUAGGGCGCAAGCGUUGUCCGGAAUUAUUGGGCGUAAAGAGCUCGUAGGCGGCUUGUCACGUCGGAUGUGAAAGCCCGGGGCUUAACCCCGGGUCUGCAUUCGAUACGGGCUAGCUAGAGUGUGGUAGGGGAGAUCGGAAUUCCUGGUGUAGCGGUGAAAUGCGCAGAUAUCAGGAGGAACACCGGUGGCGAAGGCGGAUCUCUGGGCCAUUACUGACGCUGAGGAGCGAAAGCGUGGGGAGCGAACAGGAUUAGAUACCCUGGUAGUCCACGCCGUAAACGUUGGGAACUAGGUGUUGGCGACAUUCCACGUCGUCGGUGCCGCAGCUAACGCAUUAAGUUCCCCGCCUGGGGAGUACGGCCGCAAGGCUAAAACUCAAAGGAAUUGACGGGGGCCCGCACAAGCAGCGGAGCAUGUGGCUUAAUUCGACGCAACGCGAAGAACCUUACCAAGGCUUGACAUAUACCGGAAAGCAUCAGAGAUGGUGCCCCCCUUGUGGUCGGUAUACAGGUGGUGCAUGGCUGUCGUCAGCUC